AGUAACACGUGGGUAACCUGCCUCAUACAGGGGGAUAACAGUUAGAAAUGACUGCUAAUACCGCAUAAGCGCACAGUGCUGCAUGGCACAGUGUGAAAAACUCCGGUGGUAUGAGAUGGACCCGCGUCUGAUUAGCUAGUUGGUGGGGUAACGGCCUACCAAGGCGACGAUCAGUAGCCGGCCUGAGAGGGUGAACGGCCACAUUGGGACUGAGACACGGCCCAA
rnacentral:rRNA from 1 species